UCUUUAGGAAAUCCAUGUUACAUAGGUUUCAAUUUAUCGCGAUAAUUAACACCUUUGAGGCGUUUAUUUAUUUUUUUUUAAUAUUUAACGCAUUUACUUGUACUUGAUAUAACCACAGAAUAGAUUCUGUGAUAUAACUAUAUAAUAUUAUAAAAUAUAAAAUUAUCCGUAUCAUGUUAAAAAUUAUGAUCACAGAUAUAAUCCACCACAAACUUAUCUUGGCUGUCAAAUUAUAUCCAUACCCGCCGGCCAGGCAUGCCUUGUCUAUGAGAUAAGUCUAUGGCUAAACGUCAGUUUUGUCCACAGAUUUCUAUUUAAAGACAUCUGUGGUUCUUUCAAUACAUAGAUCGAGAUAAAAUGACAAGAUAAACUACUAUUAACCACUGAAACGUUGUUUUAUGUGACGAUGUCCUUUAUUACACAUGUACUAUUAGUACCUAUCACGUAUUAAUAACGACAAUUUACAUAGUUUUAUGUUUAUUGACAUCUCUGUGACUUGUGACUGUAAAUAUUUCAAUUUAUUUUUGUAAAUAUUAAUUUUAUAAAUUUGCUAUGGAUAAUAUUAUUAAUGAGCGAAAAACAAACAAAAGAUAGAACACUGUACUUUCUUAUUUUGUAAAAAAAUUUAAAGAAGAUGAGAAAAACCAAAUGAGCAUUUUGUUAAUAAUGAAUUUACUGAGUUAACUUCAAUUGAGGAUAGUGGCAAUUGUGAUCUCCAGUCUCAAGUUCCUGCAAUACAUAUUGAAGAAACUUUGAAUAAACAGCAAUAUAACAAAAAUGAUGUAGUUUUAUUCGUACAAAGAAAUUUGAUUUCUGAUAAACAUAUUAUUUUGCUUAAUGUUUGGGUACCUACCACCAUCGAACUAUAAAUUUCCUCUAUAAGUGAAAAAACAAAAACGUUGCUUGAAGUUUCAGUAUAAGUGGCUUACAGAGUAAAACUGGCUGUCAUAUUCUAAACUUAAAAAUUGUGCUUUUUGCAAAUUUGCGUUAUUUUUACAAAGACUGGCUGAACCAAUAGUCAGCCAGUCAUUAGGACAGCUUGUAGUUAAAGCCUUAAAUGUGUGGAAAAAUGCUAAGGAGAUUUUUCGUACACAUUCACAAAGGAGCUAACACGAAUCUUCCAUUUUGGAUUCAGACAAUUUUUUAAAGAUAAAUUUUAAUAAAGAUUUGUCAAUUAAUAGUCGACUGGAUUCCGAAAGGUAUAAGAUUAAAGCAAAUUAAGUCGAAUAGGAAACGCCUUGUACCAAUUAUUGAUUGUAUAAUAUUGUGUGGUAGUCAAGAAAUAGCAUUGCGUGGACAUAAUGAUUCUGGAAAGCUUCCAGAACGAUUGUGAUAAUAUAAAUCAAAGCAAUUUUCGAGCUAUUUUAAAAUACUGAACACCAUCACGUGCUGAAUGUUUUAAAAAGUAUUUUCGAAAAAGAAGGAAAAAAUAAAUUCAUUUGUCCCCAAGUUCAAAAUGAAAUAAUUUCAGUAUGUGGUGAUAUCAUUUUAAAAAGACAGUGAAUCAAAUCAUUGAUUUAAAAUAUUUUACUAUGUCGGCUGACGAAACCUUUAAUAUAUCAGUGGUUGAACAGUUGGCGCUUUGUGUAAGAUAUGUUGACAAAAAUAAAAAUGAGAAUGAAGAUUUUUUUUAAUUUUUCCCAGUUCAAAUUUUUGCAGGAAAACAUUUAGCAGAUUCUAUUUUGAAUGGAUUGAUGAGUUGUGGGGUUGACUGCAACUAUUUAUAUGGACAAGGUUGCGAUGGUACAAGUAAUAUGGCAGGCCACGUAAGGCCUUGUUUAAGCCAACGUUAGAGCAAAGUAUCAUAAAGCAUUAUACAUACACUAUUCAGCUCAUUCGUUAAACUUGGCCGUCUCAACGGCUAGUAACAUUAAACCUAUGAGAAAUUGUUUGGGAAUUAUGGAAAAGUUGUACGUUUUUUCAAUACACCCAAACGUAAUAAUGUUCUGUUGUCUUGUAUUGAAAAUAGUGAGACUAAUAAUUGAAAUUUUUGAGAAGUGAAUGUGAUAAUGAGUUCAAAAAAAUAAUCGUACAAGCAAAGGAACUGGCUGUUAAAAUGGAUAUUGAGUGGUCAGUCAAACGGUUGAAUAAAAGACAAACAAAUAGAGCAAAUCCAUUGUCUGAUCAAUAAUUGGAUGCAGAAACGUAUUAUAAAUAACUAUUUUUAUACCAUACGUCGAUUAUUUUAUAACUGAAUUGGAAAAUAGAUUUUUGUCACACUCACAUCUUAAGGAUUUAAUAGUUUAUUUUCUCCCAAUACAGUUUUAGCUGCAGAUGAAGAAACUUCAUUCAAAACAUUAGUUGAAUUUAACUCUUCAAAUGUAAAAAACAUUGUUAUUUUACUGGUCGAUUUAAAGUUGUGGAGGCGCAAGUUAAGUUGAUCAAAUAAUGUUUCAAAAUCAGCUAUUCAAUCUCUUACUGAAUAUGAUGUUAAUAUAAUUAAAAUAAUCAAAAUUGUCACAUUGUCUGUUUCUACCACCACACCUGAGCGGAUGUUUUCUUCUCUAAAGAGAAUAAAGACUUAUUUAACAAAUAACAUGUCUGAAGAUCGAUUGAAUGGAUCAACUAAGUUAGCUAUCCACAAUAAUUUACACAAUGACACAGAGGAAAUAAUUUAAUAACAAUUUUCAUAUCAUGGUGCCGUUUCUAGCAUUGUCAUUGCCAUAGAUCAUGAACAUAAUAAUAUAAUAAGAUAAUAAUAAUAAUAAUAAUAAUAUAUAAUAAUUUACUUGACCAGGGAUUUUAAAAGAAACAGAGUGCGAUGAACUAAAUAAUUAUUAAUUAUUAUUAUUUAUUAAAGACUAUUAAAAUAUAAAUUAUUAUUAUUGUUAAUAUUUGUAUACUGAUCUAAAUAAUU